rnacentral:rRNA from 1 species
UGGGGAAUUUUGGACAAUGGGCGAAAGCCUGAUCCAGCAAUGCCGCGUGUGUGAAGAAGGCCUUCGGGUUGUAAAGCACUUUUGUCCGGAAAGAAAUCCUUGGUUCUAAUAUAGCCGGGGGAUGACGGUACCGGAAGAAUAAGCACCGGCUAACUACGUGCCAGCAGCCGCGGUAAUACGUAGGGUGCGAGCGUUAAUCGGAAUUACUGGGCGUAAAGCGUGCGCAGGCGGUUUGCUAAGACCGAUGUGAAAUCCCCGGGCUCAACCUGGGAACUGCAUUGGUGACUGGCAGGCUAGAGUAUGGCAGAGGGGGGUAGAAUUCCACGUGUAGCAGUGAAAUGCGUAGAGAUGUGGAGGAAUACCGAUGGCGAAGGCAGCCCCCUGGGCCAAUACUGACGCUCAUGCACGAAAGCGUGGGGAGCAAACAGGAUUAGAUACCCUGGUAGUCCACGCCCUAAACGAUGUCAACUAGUUGUUGGGGAUUCAUUUCCUUAGUAACGUAGCUAACGCGUGAAGUUGACCGCCUGGGGAGUACGGUCGCAAGAUUAAAACUUAAAUGAAUUGACGGGGU